CUUCCGGGAGUGCCGGAAGUGUCGUUCCUCGAGUCAUGUGUCCCAAUGCGACCAAUCCUUCGCGACCCCGUUGCCAGGCAACGCCGGGGCGUCCGCCCAGCCGGACCCGGGCUUCCGGAUCGCGCUCGGACCCGGGAUGGGAAGUGAUGGCCAAGGGCUUCUGUUGAGUUGAUGACAUCACGUUGAGAGAGAGAAAAGGGUGAACGCGACAACCAAGGACGCCAACGCUGAAAGCUUAGGAGGGAAGGAUACAAAUUUCCACGUACUCGCGCUUUUCAGUUCCACCGCCCUCUUCCGGAGGUUGGUGAAGCGUGCGCCUCCGCCUUUGCACAGGUGACUACAGCUAGCCCGAAAGGCAGCGGAGGAGCCCGGGGUCUCAGGACCACCCAGCUCUUCAAUUCCUGAUCCAGCGAAUGGGAGCAUUCGUCCCUCGGAGAUGGUAAGCUUUCCUCGUGGGCUUUUACCUCACUUGCAAGGACAAGGCCUUUUAUUGUCACCUGAGACUUAUACCCUGUGGACCUUGAUCCAUUAUUCAGCACACAGGGCACAGGUAUAGAUCCCGUCAGCUUCCACACUGUCGUCCUGUCCUGUUUGCCUUUUGCCUUUCUCGCUUAUUUACAAGGUAUCUAUUGAGACAUUUUUUCAAAUACUUAAAAUAAAUUAGCCUAUCCUGUGGCUUUGGCAUUCACCUUAACCUGCAAGUGAGUUUUUUUUUUUUUUCCCAUCAUUUACUGAAUUCAAGUGGCUUCUAAUUUUCUCUUCUGAAAUAUAUAUUUAUCCUCUCCCCAUAUCUCGGCCUCCCUUUCUCUUCUGGAAACAUUAACAACUAAAAUUUUGUGGCUGAAUGUGUUUUCCAGCAGAGACCCUCAGUCGCUGCAGCAACCCUCAGCCCCACCCAGCAGGUUCCUGGCUCCACCAGCCUGGAGUGCCACAACUACAGUCUUCCAUCCUAAGAGGCACAAAGGAGUGCUGUUCUGCAGUCUGGGUAGUUCAUCCAUUCAAGGGAAAGCAGAUGCUGAGAAGAGGCUCACAUCACUUUGUCUUCACCCCGGCCCACACUUCACUUGAGAAAAGUAUGGCUGAGAAGUUAUUGGCUUGCCCAAGGCCAAACAAGCAAAAGAGGAGGUUCAAGGCCAGAUUCUCAGUACUUUUCUGGUAUCUCUCAGCAGCAGCAAGGCAAGGCUGACUGAGAAGGGAAGUUAACCAGGAAGAAAUUAAGGAUUAAAGACAUGUUCCCAUAUAAACGCACAAGUGGAUGCGUUCAGGACAGAGAUGUUGCCCUGACACAUUCACAAAGGAACUGUGCUGAGUCACACCAGCCCUUGGGCUGAGCUGCUCUAAGCUACUGUGCCUUACAAGUCCUUUCCACAGUCCCUGUGACUUGGAGGUGGGGUGUUGCCAUAAAGGUUGGGCACUACCCAAGCCCUCUGUAACAGUAAGAGGCAGGCCAUUUCCUCAGGUGCAGACAUCUAUCUCCUCACCUAUCUCGGAUUCAAUUCCUCCUAACCAGGUCUGGUCUAAACUUUCCAGAAGUCAAGAAAUUAAACGAGAGAUAACACUCUCUUACAUUAA